rnacentral:rRNA from 1 species
GAUGAACGCUGGCGGCGUGCCUAAUACAUGCAAGUAGAACGCUGAAGGAAGGAGCUUGCUCUUUCCGGAUGAGUUGCGAACGGGUGAGUAACGCGUAGGUAACCUGCCUGGUAGCGGGGGAUAACUAUUGGAAACGAUAGCUAAUACCGCAUAACAACAGUUGUUGCAUGACAGCUGUUUAAAAGGUGCAAAUGCACCACUACCAGAUGGACCUGCGUUGUAUUAGCUAGUUGGUGAGGUAACGGCUCACCAAGGCGACGAUACAUAGCCGACCUGAGAGGGUGAUCGGCCACACUGGGACUGAGACACGGCCCAGACUCCUACGGGAGGCAGCAGUAGGGAAUCUUCGGCAAUGGACGGAAGUCUGACCGAGCAACGCCGCGUGAGUGAAGAAGGUUUUCGGAUCGUAAAGCUCUGUUGUGAGAGAAGAACGAGUGUGAGAGUGGAAAGUUCACACUGUGACGGUAUCUUACCAGAAAGGGACGGCUAACUACGUGC